rnacentral:rRNA from 1 species
CGCGUGUAUGAAGAAGGCCUUCGGGUUGUAAAGUACUUUCAGUUGUGAGGAAGGGGGUAGCGUUAAUAGCGCUAUCUCUUGACGUUAGCAACAGAAGAAGCACCGGCUAACUCCGUGCCAGCAGCCGCGGUAAUACGGAGGGUGCGAGCGUUAAUCGGAAUUACUGGGCGUAAAGCGCAUGCAGGUGGUUCAUUAAGUCAGAUGUGAAAGCCCGGGGCUCAACCUCGGAACUGCAUUUGAAACUGGUGAACUAGAGUACUGUAGAGGGGGGUAGAAUUUCAGGUGUAGCGGUGAAAUGCGUAGAGAUCUGAAGGAAUACCAGUGGCGAAGGCGGCCCCCUGGACAGAUACUGACACUCAGAUGCGAAAGCGUGGGGAGCAAACAGGAUUAGAUACCCUGGUAGUCCACGCCGUAAACGAUGUCUACUUGGAGGUUGUGGCCUUGAGCCGUGGCUUUCGGAGCUAACGCGUUAAGUAGACCGCCUGGGGAGUACGGUCGCAAGAUUAAAACUCAAAUGAAUUGACGGGGGCCCGCACAAGCGGUGGAGCAUGUGGUUUAAUUCGAUGCAACGCGAAGAACCUUACCUACUCUUGACAUCCAGAGAAGCCAGCGGAGACGCAGGUGUGCCUUCGGGAGCUCUGAGACAGGUGCUGCAUGGCUGUCGUCAGCUCGUGUUGUGAAAUGUUGGGUUAAGUCCCGCAACGAGCGCAACCCUUAUCCUUGUUUGCCAGCGAGUAAUGUCGGGAACUCCAGGGAGACUGCCGGUGAUAAACCGGAGGAAGGUGGGGACGACGUCAAGUCAUCAUGGCCCUUACGAGUAGGGCUACACACGUGCUACAAUGGCGCAUACAGAGGGCAGCAAGCUAGCGAUAGUGAGCGAAUCCCAAAAAGUGCGUCGUAGUCCGGAUUGGAGUCUGCAACUCGACUCCAUGAAGUCGGAAUCGCUAGUAAUCGUAGAUCAGAAUGCUACGGUGAAUACGUUCCCGGGCCUUGUACACACCGCCCGUCACACCAUGGGAGUGGGCUGCAAAAGAAGUGGGUAGUUUAACCUUUCGGGGAGGACGCUCACCACUUUGUGGUUCAUGACUGGGGUGAAGUCGUAACAAGGUAGCCCUAGGGGAACCUGGGGCUGGAUCACCUCCUUAUACGAAGAUA